GGAGGUAGAGCUCAGUGGUAGAGCAUGUGCUUGCCAUGCAUGAGGUCCUGGGUUCAACUGCCAGUGCUUCCG
rnacentral:tRNA from 1 species